CACGUAGGGCGCAAGCGUUGUCCGGAAUUAUUGGGCGUAAAGAGCUCGUAGGCGGUCUGUUACGUCUGCUGUGAAAACCCGGGGCUUAACCCUGGGCUUGCAGUGGAUACGGGCAGACUAGAGGCAGGUAGGGGAGAAUGGAAUUCCUGGUGUAGCGGUGAAAUGCGCAGAUAUCAGGAGGAACACCGGUGGCGAAGGCGGAUCUCUGGGCCUUACCUGACGCUGAGGCGCGAAAGCUAGGGGAGCAAACAGG
rnacentral:rRNA from 1 species